GGCUCGUAACACGUGGGGGCUUGCCGAGAUUUUUUCCGGGAAUCGGGUAAGACAACUUUUUCAUCCACUCAUUGGGGAAUAGUGGUGGUAAAGCUGUAUUGAUUGUAUAGAUCGGGAUAUUGGCCUUUGAUACUGACGGGCACAAAACUGCCGGUGCAGCAGCAAGGGGAUUGUAAAUUGGGGGAGACGCACGCGGAAAUUUGUAAGGUUAAACUUUUGUUGUUUUCGUGGGGUUGCCGUGGAGGAGGGAAGUCACUUUUGGAAGUGAUUGCAGCUGGUUGCUCUCGCUGCAACAGAGACACACUGUGCAGGCUGGGGAAAAUUGGGUACAGGUGUAGUGGUAACUGGGUGGUGAUAGUAGGUGAGUACCUACUGAGCAAACGCAAAACCCUGCGCAGGUUAAGAGCGCUUACCGCUGUUUGUUGUUUUGGCCGUGCUUAUAAGAGUUUGUUGUUUUUCGUGGGUGUGUCGGACGCGCUGGAGUUGGUUAGCAGCUCAAUUGCAGGUGGACACACUGAAGAUUAUAGGUUGGGAAUAGCGAGGACUGUGUUUUGGAGAUAGAUGCGAGGAGGCUCUAGUCGGUUGGGUUUUUGUAAGUGGGUGGUGAUACACCUGUGCUUAAUUACCGGGUGUGCACGGUCGCGUCUGAGCCACCGGGUAAAGAACACGAUCAGGGAGAGGGCAUUGGUAGACCUGGGCCAGAUCGGUUGCAGGGGAGAAGUAGGGAUUGGAAAUGGAAGGGAUGGCAGAGUUUUUCGAGUCUCCGACAGAGGGGUAUUUGGAGGGACUUACGAAGAAUCAGUUGCGUGUGGUGGCAGAACAUUACAAAUUCAAUGAAACUUUGCCGAAAGAACUUAGAAAACAGGAGUUAAAAGAGGGAGUGAGGAAGGGAUUAGUAGAGAGGUCCAUAAUAGUGGCAAGCUCCGAUCCUCUAAAUCCCACAGCAUUGACUCCUACACGCUCAGAGUCAGCCCUGAUCAAAUGGCAGUCGGGAGAGCGUUGGGUUGGUCGUUGGAUUUGGAUAGAGAUUGGAUUUGGAUUGUCGUUGGUUGGAGUAUCGUUGGUUUUGGAUUAUCGUCGUCGUUUGUUUAUAUUACCAUUUACCUGACUUUACAGUACAUCUUUUGUUUCUCUUCACAACACUGAUCUUCACCACACGUUUGCUAUAAUUAUU
ensembl:lncRNA